GACGAACCGUCCAAACGUUAUUCGGAAUCACUGGGCUUACAGAGUUCGUAGGCGUCUGGAAAGUUGGGUGUGAAAUCCCUCGGCUCAACCGAGGAACUGCGCUUGAAACUACCAGACUCGAGGGAGAUAGAGGAAAGCGGAACUGAUGGUGGAGCGGUGAAAUGCGUUGAUAUCAUCAGGAACACCGGUGGCGAAGGCGGCUUCUGGGUCUUACCUGACGCUGAGGAACGAAAGCCAGGGGAGCGAACGGG
rnacentral:rRNA from 1 species